rnacentral:rRNA from 1 species
UACAGAGGUCUCAAGCGUUGUUCGGAUUCAUUGGGCGUAAAGGGUGCGUAGGUGGCGCGGUAAGUCGGGUGUGAAAUCUCGGAGCUUAACUCCGAAAUUGCAUUCGAUACUGCCGUGCUUGAGGACUGGAGAGGAGACUGGAAUUCAUGGUGUAGCGGUGGAAUGCGCAGAUAUCAGGAGGAACACCAAUAGCGAAGGCAGCUCGCUGGGACGGUACUGACACUAAGGCGCGAAAGCGUGGGGAGCGAACAGG